rnacentral:rRNA from 1 species
GACGAGCGCUGGCGGCGUGCCUAAUACAUGCAAGUUGAGCGCUGAAGGUUGGUACUUGUACCAACUGGAUGAGCAGCGAACGGGUGAGUAACGCGUGGGGAAUCUGCCUUUGAGCGGGGGACAACAUUUGGAAACGAAUGCUAAUACCGCAUAAAAACUUUAAACACAAGUUUUAAGUUUGAAAGAUGCAAUUGCAUCACUCAAAGAUGAUCCCGCGUUGUAUUAGCUAGUUGGUGAGGUAAAGGCUCACCAAGGCGAUGAUACAUAGCCGACCUGAGAGGGUGAUCGGCCACAUUGGGACUGAGACACGGCCCAAACUCCUACGGGAGGCAGCAGUAGGGCAUCUUCGGCAAUGGACGAAAGUCUGACCGAGCAACGCCGCGUGAGUGAAGAAGGGUGUCGGAUCGUAAAACUCGGUUGGUAGAGAAGAACGUUGGUGAGAGUGGAAAGCUCAUCAAGUGACGGUAACUACUCAGAAAGGGACGGCUAACUACGUG